ensembl:snRNA
ACCAUCCUUUUCUACAAGUUGCGUUACUGCCCAAUGAAUGUCUAGUGAGGACAGUACUGGUAACACCUACACAACACACACACAGCUCUUAAAGCUUUGCUUUAACAUGGUGCAAUUUGUGGAACC